rnacentral:rRNA from 1 species
CAUUAGUUUGUUGGUAAGGUAACGGCUUACCAAGACUGUGAUGCGUAGCCGGACUGAGAGGUUGAACGGCCACAUUGGGACUGAGACACGGCCCAAACUCCUACGGGAGGCAGCAGUGGGGAAUCUUGCACAAUGGAGGAAACUCUGAUGCAGCGAUGCCGCGUGAGUGAAGAAGGCCUUUGGGUUGUAAAGCUCUUUCGUCGGGGAAGAAAAUGACUGUACCCGAAUAAGAAGGUCCGGCUAACUUCGUGCCAGCAGCCGCGGUAAUACGAAGGGACCUAGCGUAGUUCGGAAUUACUGGGCUUAAAGAGUUCGUAGGUGGUUGAAAAAGUUGGUGGUGAAAUCCCAGAGCUUAACUCUGGAACUGCCAUCAAAACUUUUCAGCUAGAGUUUGAUAGAGGAAAGCAGAAUCUCUAGUGUAGAGGUGAAAUUCGUAGAUAUUAGAAAGGAUCCAAUUGCGAAGCAGCUUCUGGAUCUUACUGAGCUGAGG